rnacentral:rRNA from 1 species
UGCGUAGGUGGUGAGGUAAGUCGGAUGUGAAAUCUCCGGGCUUAACCCGGAAAUGGCAUUGGAAACUACCUUGCUAGAGGAUUUGAGGGGGGAUUGGAAUACUUGGUGUAGCAGUGAAAUGCGUAGAUAUCAAGUGGAACACCAGUGGCGAAGGCGAAUCCCUGGAAAAUACCUGACACUGAGGCACGAAAGCUAGGGGAAGCAAACA